rnacentral:lncRNA from 1 species
GUAUGGAGGAGUGGACUUUUGAGGCCUGCUGAAGCCUUUAUCACUGUUGCACCUGCUAUAAUGCAAAUUCAAAUUCAAAUCAUCAUAAUCAAGCAUUUGGUUCUCUCUGAAUCAUCAAACACAAUCCAUAUGUGUUGCCCUCUAGUUGCAUGCAUGUACUUCAAAAUAUAGCAGGUUUUCUUUCUAUUUUCCUUCUUUCUUUUUGGGUAAGAUUUUUCAUUCUAUGAUCUAUUAGACUAUAGAGAGUAAUGUGAAAAUUUCUAUUUGAGGCAUCCUACUCACUUUCUUUUCCUGCUUUUUCUUCCUGAGGGCUACUUGGCUUGUUUACACUCUCAGUCCUCAUAUCAGUGUCAAACUCUGAACUUUUUAACAUAUAUUUUGGGGCAUAAUAUAUAUAUAUAUAUAUAUAUAUAUAUAUAUAUAUAUAUAUAUAUAAUAUUCGAGUUCUUAAGAGUCACAAAAAUAACUCUGAUGGCUGACACACUGUGAUCUUAAUUUGAGCAUAUAUAACAUCAGAAUUUUUUUUGAUAGGGUAUAACAUCAUAAUACAAGGCUGGAUUACUCUCCACGAGUGCUUCUUCUCCUCCUCCCUCGUUCUCUAGGCUUUCUCGACUUCUCUUUAUUUCAGAGUCCUUGCGUUCUUUAGUUCUUAUCAGUAUUAUCUGUAAAAAUAUUUUGAAUGUUAAGUCAAUCUGAAUACAAUCUAUAAAUUUUAAGUUUAAUUGAUUAUUAU